CAAAUACUCCCUCCGUCCUAAAAUUCUUGUCUUAGAUUUUUCUAAAUACAGAUCUAUCUAGCUACGUUUUAGUGUUAGAUACAUUUGUAUCUAGACAAAUCUAAGACAAGAAUUUUGGGACGGAGGGAGUAUUUU
rfam:Triticum aestivum genome assembly, contig: Triticum_aestivum_CS42_TGACv1_scaffold_288276_4AL